ACCAUGAUCGGAGGCUUAUUCAGCUAUAAUCACAAGGGGGAGGUGCUUAUCUCUCGGGUCUACAGAGAUGACAUCGGGAGGAAUGCUGUGGAUGCCUUUCGGGUCAAUGUCAUUCAUGCAUGGCAGCAGGUGCACAACCCUGUCACAAACAUCACUCGUAUCAGCUUCUUCCAUGUUAAGCGGUCCAGCAUCUGGUUGGCCGAAGUCACCAAGCAGAAUGUCAAUGCUGCCAUGGUCUUCGAAUUCCUCUACAAGAUGUGUGAUGUAAUGGCUGCUUACUUUGGCAAGAUCAGCGAGGAGAACAUCAAGAACAAUUUUGUGCUCAUAUAUGAGCUGCUGGAUGAGAUUUUGGACUUUGGCUACCCAUAGAACUAAGAGACAGGUGCACUGAAAACCUUCAUCACCCAGCAGGGUAUCAAGAGUCAGUAUCAGAUGAAGGAAGAACAGUCCCAGAUCACCAGCCAGGUGAUCGGGCAGAUUGGCUGGCGGCGAGAAGGCAUCAAGUAUCGCCAGAAUGAACUCUUCCUAGAUGUUCUGGAGAGUGUGAACCUGCUUAUGUCCCCACAGGGGCAGGUGCUGAGUGCCCAUGUGUCAGGCCGGGUGGUGAUGAAGAGUUACCUGAGUGGCAUGCCUGAGUGCAAGUUUGGAUUGAAAGAUUGUCAUAGAAAAGCAGGGGCAAAGGCAUAGCUGAUGAAACAAGCAAGAGUGGUAAGCAGUCGAUCACCAUUGAUGACUGCACCUUCCACCAGUGUGUGCGACUCAGCAAGUUUGAAUCUGAACUGAGCAUCAGCUUCAUCUGUACCUACCAAGGACAUCAUCCUUCCUUUCCGGGUGAUCCCAUUGGUGCCAGAGGUGGGGUGCACCAAACUGGAGGUCAAGGUGGUCAUCAAGUCCAACUUCAAGCCCUCACUUCUGGCCCAGAAGAUUGAGGUGAGGAUCCUGACUCCAAUGAACACAAGCAGGGUAUAGGUGAUCUGCAUGAAGGGGAAGGCCAAGUACAAGGCCAGCAAGAACGCCAUAGUAUGGAAGAUCAAGCACAUGGCAGGCAUGAAGGAAUCCCAGAUCAGCGCAGAGAUUGAGCUCUUGCCCACCAAUGAUAAAAAGAAAUGGGCUCGGCCUCCCAUUUCCAUUAACUUCGAGGUGCUAUUCAUGCCUUCUGGCCUCAAGGUGCGAUACUUGAAGGUAUUCGAACAGAAGCUGAACUACAGUGAACAUGAUGUCCUCAAGUGGGUCGAUACAUUGGCUGCAGUGGCAUUUAUGAAACCCGCAGCUAGCUGCCUAGUUGCAGCUGGCCCACCUCCCUACCCACCCUUUCCACAGGUCCAAGUACCCCUAGUGACCACUCACCAGUGUCAUUCCUCCCUCCUGCUCUGCU